GAAGACACUCAGUUGCUUGAGUUUGUGGAAGACUUAUUAGUAAAGGCUGUGAACGACAGGGAACCAACGAAAGACUAAAGUAAAGAAAUUGCCGAAGUCCCACUUGAUAUCACACAUUUAUUGGGACUUAGCUGCUGAGUCGCCAGGCCUAAAAGGCAGCAGAAAGAAGGCAGGAGAAAAUCCCCACGGCAUCCUAACUAUAAUGAGUUCCUUCUGCCAUCACCUGUAGAGAGAGCACAGGC